rnacentral:rRNA from 1 species
CGGAGGAAGGUGGGGAUGACGUCAAAUCAUCAUGCCCCUUAUGUCUUGGGCUUCACGCAUGCUACAAUGGCCGGUACAGAGGGCUGCGAUACCGUGAGGUGGAGCGAAUCUCAUAAAGCCGGUCUCAGUUCGGAUUGGGGUCUGCAACUCGACCCCAUGAAGUCGG